rnacentral:tRNA from 1 species
UCCCUGGUGGUCCAGUGGUUAGGACUCUGCAGUCUCAAAGCAGAGGGCCCAGGUUCAAUCCCUAGUCAGGGAA